CCUACGGGUGGCAGCAGUGGGGAAUAUUGCGCAAUGGGCGAAAGCCUGACGCAGCGACGCCGCGUGAGGGAUGAAGGUCUUCGGAUCGUAAACCUCUGUCAGCAGGGAAGAACGGUCACUGUGCUAAUCAGCAGUGAAUUGACGGUACCUGCAAAGGAAGCACCGGCUAACUCCGUGCCAGCAGCCGCGGUAAUACGGAGGGUGCGAGCGUUAAUCGGAAUUACUGGGCGUAAAGCGCUCGUAGGCGGUAUGUCAAGUCAAGGGUGAAAUCUCCGAGCUCAACGGGGGAACUGCCUUUGAAACUGGCAGACUGGAGUGUGUGAGAGGAAAGUGGAAUUCGUGGUGUAGGGGUGAAAUCCGUAGAUAUCUGGAGGAACAUCAGUGGCGAAGGCGACUAACUGGCACAUCACUGACGCUGAGGAGCGAAAGCGUGGGUAGCAAACAGGAUUAGAUACCCCUGUAGUC
rnacentral:rRNA from 1 species